rfam:Thermobacillus composti KWC4, complete genome.
UGAACCUUUAAUUCAGUCCCGUGAGGCUGACAAGGUAACGGCAUAUCGGACAGGCACAGGCCUGACGGCGGCGCUACCCGUGCGCGCGCCGAGGGUCGUGGUGUGGUGCGGCCUGACUCCUUGCGGCUUUUCGCAAGGAGUUUUUUUGU